AUCGUUGAAACACAGUUAAGUUGAGCUGGAAUUGUUCGUGAAGUCUUACCGAAACUGUGAUCUGGCAAUUUUCCAGCAUAGCUGCACUGAUAUAAUUAUCCCUGUUUUCUCCUUGCUACUCACUGAUAUCGCAUUUGGUUCACUGCUUACAAUACUUCCACAGUCAUCUCUCAAGUGCACGACUUACUAAAUGCUACACCAUCGUCACGUGAAGUAAAUAAACGAUUUUACGUCUUCUGUCCUUACGUCUCCGGGUGGCUUCAUCGUGCCUGAAAAUGGUUUACUCGUAUGGAGAACUAAGGGCCACUAGAAGAUAACGUGAAACAGAUUAUCAAAGAACUAAUGGAUAGGUGAUCUCAGUUGGUGUGCACCAAAAUGGCAACAACCAGGACAAGGCGCAAUUAUUUAUCUGGUAUCAACGACAGUAUGGGAUGGCACCACCGAAAUAAACAAGCAUAAUGAGGUGGUUCAGAAACUUAAAAAUGAAAUGUCACAGACUUCCUCUGAAGUGAUGUCUGCUUGGGCCUCAAGCAAAUGUUGACUGAGUGCCAACAGCAUUUUAGCACAGCCCCCAGCAGUCAGUUCGUUGAAGAUCACAUGAAUUGCAGGAAUUGAGACCAACUGUACAUAUUGUUACAUAAGUGAUCAUGCCUUUUGCAUACAAAGUGAAAAUUGUCCAAGCAUUACAGCCAAAUAAUCAUUUUUCUGUGGCAUUCA